CCAGACUCCUACGGGAGGCAGCAGUGGGGGAUAUUGCACAAUGGGGGGAACCCUGAUGCAGCGACGCCGCGUGGGUGAAGGAGUAUUUCGGUAUGUAAAGCCCUAUCGGCAGGGAAGAAACCAGACGGUACCUGACUAAGAAGCCCCGGCUAACUACGUGCCAGCAGCCGCGGUAAUACGUAGGGGGCAAGCGUUAUCCGGAUUCACUGGGUGUAAAGGGAGCGUAGACGGCCAUGCAAGCCAGGGGUGAAAGCCCGGGGCUCAACCCCGGGACUGCAUUGGGAACUGGCGUGCUGGAGUGCCGGAGGGGCAGGCGGAAUUCCUGGUGUAGCGGUGAAAUGCGUAGAUAUCAGGAGGAACACCGAUGGCGAAGGCGGCCUGCUGGACGGAUACUGACGCUGAGGCCCGAAAGCGUGGGGAGCGAACAGGAUUAGAUACCCUAGUAA
rnacentral:rRNA from 1 species